rnacentral:rRNA from 1 species
UACGUAGGGUGCAAGCGUUGUCCGGAAUUAUUGGGCGUAAAGAGCUCGUAGGCGGUUUGUCGCGUCGAAUGUGAAAACCCGGGGCUCAACCCCGGGCCUGCAUUCGAUACGGGCAGACUAGAGUUCGGUAGGGGAGUCUGGAAUUCCUGGUGUAGCAGUGAAAUGCGCAGAUAUCAGGAGGAACACCGGUGGCGAAGGCGGGACUCUGGGCCGAUACUGACGCUGAGGAGCGAAAGCGUGGGGAGCAAACAGG